ACAAACACCUUCUCUAUUGCUUCCUCCUCCAUUUCCUGGGAUCCCUGAGACUUUUUUCUCCUCUAUACCUCCUUUUGGGAAGUAACAAGAAGAAAAGGGAGGAGGCUGUAGAUCCUUCAGAGAAUCUUCCAGAGGGGAGAAAAUAUAACUGGUAUUUGGGAAGAAGAGAUGAAAGGUGAAAAGAAGUCUAUUGUUUCUCAAAUGGAACCCAACAAGUCAUCUAGCCCACUUGGAUUAGAUCUAAGCAGAAAACACCAGCGUGUGGUUCACCCCAUCCAAAAGCAGCUCAUCCCAUUUUUAAACAAUUUUAAUUAUUAGAAGUUUCUUUUUAUUUUUCUUGUGCAACAUGAUAAAUGUAGAAAUAUGUAUAGAAGAAUUGCACAUGUUUAACCCAUAUUGGAAUACUUGCCUUCUAGGGGAGGGAGGUAGGGAGAAGAGAAGAAGAAAAAUUUGGAACACAAAGUUUUGCAAGGAUGAAUGUUGAAAACUUUCUUUGCAUAUAUUUUGAAAAUAAAAGACUAUGGUUUCAUUUUAAAUUUCAUUUUAUUUUAAACAAUGUAGACAGUUCUCUGUUCUCUGCAUUUAGAAGUAUAAACACUUUAAAUCUGUUACUUAAUUCUGUAAGUAAUUUUUAUAAUUAUGAUGUAACUCUAUCCUUAAAACAUUUAAAAUAAACCCUUUAUGUGCAACUUAUAA